UAUUAAAUAUUUCAUCCAUUUCUACAGUUAAAAACUGAUAUAGUUAACAAAAUAACCAAAUAGUUACACAUGAUACGUGCUGACAUAUAAAAAUUAAUUUUUUACUGUAGAAAUUGAUGAAAUUUUUAACA
rfam:Gossypium arboreum cultivar AKA8401 contig_6389_1, whole genome shotgun sequence.